rnacentral:rRNA from 1 species
UACGAAGGGGGCUAGCGUUGUUCGGAAUUACUGGGCGUAAAGGGCGCGUAGGCGGUCCUUCAAGUCAGGCGUGAAAGCCCCGGGCUCAACCUGGGAACCGCGCUUGAGACUGGCGGGCUAGAGUCCGGGAGAGGAGAGUGGAAUUCCUGGUGUAGCGGUGAAAUGCGCAGAUAUCAGGAAGAACACCCGUGGCGAAGGCGGCUCUCUGGGACGGUACUGACGCUGAGACGCGAAAGCGUGGGGAGCGAACAGG